AUAGAGAGACUGAUUUCAGUCUGAAUCACCGCACAGAGAUGGUGAAUAGUAACGUUAACAGACGGAUCACUGCAGCUGCACACUUCUGCACCGUACCGAAUUUGAGCCACUGCUUUGCAAAGGUUUAAAUCGUUCUGUGGCCAAAACAAAUUGGGUAUAUUUUAUUUUUAUGAGCCGAGAUGUACAGCCUCAGGAUAUUGGUAACAUCUGGAAUAACUAACUGCCUGCUGAAGACAUCUAAAGGGUUAUAAAGAAGAUGCUCAUUCUGCAUUGUCUCCCUGCCUGCCCUCCCCUCCGCAAAUGAUGAUCUUCACAGGACAACAUUAUGGAAUAUAGAAUUUCCUAAUGGAUUUUCCACUGCUGCUCCUCUCCCACUUUAUCCAGUAUAAAACUGAAUUAAAAAUUUAAUUUCAAUUUACUGAAAAGUUGGCAGCAACUAAGGGACUCUUAAGGACUGCACAGAAAGCCCGGGAUGGAUAUAAAUUAUUAACUCAUAAUUUAACAUAAGCACAAAAAUACACCAGUAAGAUCUUUUUCUUCUGCAAAUUAUAGCAUUGAAUUUUUUAGAACCCCGAGUUACUACAUUUGCAUCAUAAUCAACAAAGUUCCACUGCAAAGACUAACCUUUGCCCUUUAUUGACGUUGAUUCAAAGACCUGCCCAACAAUAAAGUACCUUUAGUCUUACUUAUGAAUUGAUUUUAUGGAUUUUCCUAGUGACACUAUUUAUAUGACUUGACUAUGUGAUUAUGUUACACACAUUCUAAAUACUUUUAGCACAUGAUAAUAAAUAUUUAAGGAAGAUCAUGUUCAUCACUAAAGAUGUGUGAAAAUUUGAUUUACAGUUUCACAUAUACAUUUGGUGUGCAUUUCUGUAUAUUAAUGCUGUGUUUCCCUUUCCAAUUUCCUGGUCACAAUACAUCAGAAUUAAUACUAAUACUAUCCCUCUAUGAAGCCAUGCCAUAUUUCCUGGGUUACCUAAGUUUCUGCAGUUUCUUCAUCAAUGUUAAAUUAAAAUCAAGCUGCUAAUCCUUAAAGUAAAAUUAAGCUGCCUUUGUAGCUAAAUUAUUUGGGUUUGUUCCAGGCAACCGCUGCUCAGGUGAACAAUAAAAUAUUCUGUUCUUCACAUAUGUUUUUGCUGAUUUUGAAUGAAUUUUUUUAAAAUGGAAUUGUUCUGGAAGAUACUUUAUGUGCAGUGGUGUGUUUCAAAUUUUUUUACUACCGGUUCUGUGGGUGUGGCUUGGUGGGCAUGGCAGAGGAAGGAUACUAUAAAAUCUCCAUUCCCUCCCCAAUCCAGGGGAAGGUUCCUGCAAAAUCCCCAUUUCUUCCUGAUCAGCUGGGACUUGGGAGGCAGAGAAUAGAUGGGGGCGGGACCAGUCAGAAUUUUUACUACCUGUUCUCCGAACUACUCAAAAUUUCCGCUACCAGUUCUCCAGAACUGGUCAGAACCUACUGAAACCCACCUCUGUUUAUAUGCCACCUCCUUAAUUUCUCAUUGGUUUGAUGCAUUUGCCCUAUGAUAUAGUGCUGAAACUAUAUCGUGAAUUACAUUAACCUUGAUGGAAUUUGACCUAAAUCUACAUUUAUUUAGUAAUAAGGGAGUUCAGUAGGUACUGGUAUUUAGCGGACCUUGGUGAUUCUGGAAAAGCAAAGAAAAGAUUGACCUGGUUAAUACAUACCAUCAAGAAAAUCCCAAAGCCUCGGAAGUCAAGAAAACAUUCCGGAAGGUAACAGCAAACCACUUCCACCCUGUUGUCAGAAAAGAACCUGACCUCUUCAUGAAACCAGGAGUCAAACUUUAUUCUAAGGAAACUCUCAUUGAGCAUAUUUCUUCUUAGAUUAUAAGUAUAGGUAAGAUUAUAUUUACUUGAACUUCACAUUUGCCACUUAAAUGAACAUGAAUACCUUUCUUUCCUUUGAUGUAACUUUAUUAAAAGCAAGAAAUAUUUCAUGUUGCAUUUCAGAGAGAACUUAGACAUGAAAACUGAGACUAUACUGUGCCUUGCUAAUGAACAUAAAGCCUAUGAGAACUGCCAGUGUCGAUUGUAUUUAUUAAUGAUGUAAAAAGCUUGGGCUGUGAACAUAUAAGGAAA